GAUCUCUUCCGGAACCGUGGUCGCGAAGCCGCCGCUGCACGUCGUCCACGUGAUCUGGCCGACGGUGAACGUGAGGCCUUCGGGCACGGUCGCGGAAGCUGGGAUCGUGACCAUCUUGUCCGCCGGAAAAGUUGCACGCACACCCCCUACCUGGCGCGCCACUGUCGACGAAAGCUGGUCGGCAGUCUACCUUGGGGUAUACCCACGGUAGUAGUUUAUCGGUAGACGGUGCGCGAACUACGAACUCGACGCUGACGCAAGACACGGACAAGCUUUUUAUCCAGGUUCGGCCGCCGAGUUGGCGUAAUACCUACGUCCUGCGUCUGGUUGUAUUGAAUUGUGUUGAGAGAUAAUCUGUGUAUCACUUGUCCUCUAGGGGACCCCUGCCCCUCCUUAUAUAUCCUGAAGGGACAGAGUUACAAGCAAAGUAUCCUAUUUGGUACAAUAUCUUGUAGCCUUGCGGUGCACGCCGACCAGUCGUGCGCCACACGUCUUCAUCUUGUGGGCCGAGCCACCUCUGACGGUGCGGCCCAUAUAGGCCCACGAGGGUAUAGGGGUUUAUACCCCCACAGACAAUUAAUAAUUAAUAAUACAUUUAUACAUAUAUGAGAAAAAUAAAAAAUAAGAAAAAUAAAAAAACUGGCCGCUGCUGGGCCGGCCCAGCUGGGCAGGCGGCCCACCGGCCCCUGCCCCUCCCCCUCCCUCUCACCCUCACCCUCUCCACUGGCCGCAACGCCGCCGCCGCCGCCUCCUCGGGUGACCACCCCUACGCUGUCCGGCCGCCUCGACUUCCCCCGCCUCCGUACGCCGCCUCGACUCCCCACGCCCGACUACACUCACCGCGUCGCCGCCAGCGAGCCGCGGCCGCCGCCGCGCGCAGCCGCACCCGCCGCAGCCGCACGCACACCCACUCCCACGCCGCAACCGGGAGCUAGAAGAUGACGGC
rnacentral:lncRNA from 1 species